rnacentral:rRNA from 1 species
GACGAACGCUGGCGGCGUGCUUAACACGUGCAAGUCGAACGAAGAGCGAUGGAAGCUUGCUUCUAUCAAUCUUAGUGGCGAACGGGUGAGUAACGCGUAAUCAACCUGCCCUUCAGAGGGGGACAACAGUUGGAAACGACUGCUAAUACCGCAUACGAUCUGACCUCGGCAUCGAGGAUAGAUGAAAGGUGGCCUCUAUUUAUAAGCUAUCACUGAAGGAGGGGAUUGCGUCUGAUUAGCUAGUUGGAGGGGUAACGGCCCACCAAGGCGAUGAUCAGUAGCCGGUCUGAGAGGAUGAACGGCCACAUUGGGACUGAGACACGGCCCAGACUCCUACGGGAGGCAGCAGUGGGGAAUCUUCCGCAAUGGACGAAAGUCUGACGGAGCAACGCCGCGUGAGUGAUGACGGCCUUCGGGUUGUAAAGCUCUGUUAAUCGGGACGAAAGGCCUUCUUGCGAAUAGUUAGAAGGAUUGACGGUACCG